rnacentral:rRNA from 1 species
AGGACGAACGCUGGCGGCGUGCCUAAUGCAUGCAAGUCGUGCGCUCUCUCCUUCGGGAGAGGGAGCGGCGGACGGCUGAGUAGCGCGUGGGUCACCUGCCCCGAAGUGGGGGAUAACGCUCCGAAAGGAGUGCUAAUCCCGCAUAGUCCCUGCCUCGCGCAGGGUAAAGCCUUUACGGGCGCUUUGGGUGGGGCCUGCGUCCCAUUAGCUUGUUGGCGGGGUAAUAGCCCACCAAGGCAGUGAUGGGUGGCUGGUCUGAGAGGACGACCAGCCAGACUGGGACUGAGACACGGCCCAGACUCCUACGGGAGCAGCAGCAAGGAAUUUCCGCAAUGGGCGCAAGCCUGACGGAGCAACGCCGCGCGGAGGAUGACGGCUCUCGGGUUGUAAACUCCUUUUGUGGGGAUGACAUCGACAGUACCCCACGAACAAGCCCCGGCUAACUACGUGCCAGCAGCCGC